rnacentral:rRNA from 1 species
CCUACGGGAGGCAGCAGUGGGGAAUAUUGGGCAAUGGGCGCAAGCCUGACCCAGCAACGCCGCGUGAAGGAAGAAGGCUUUCGGGUUGUAAACUUGUUUUAUCAGGGACGAAGCAAGUGACGGUACCUGAUGAAUAAGCGACGGCUAACUACGUGCCAGCAGCCGCGGUAAUACGUAGGUGGCAAGCGUUAUCCGGAUUUACGGGGUGUAAAGGGCGUGUAGGCGGGAGUGCAAGUCAGAUGUGAAAACUAUGGGCUCAACCCAUAGCCCGCAUUUGAAACUGUACUUCUUGAGUGAUGGAGAGGCAAUCGGAAUGCCGGGUGUAGCGGUGAAAUGCGUAGAUAUACGGAGGAACACCAGUGGCGAAGGCGGAUUGCUGAACAGUAACUGACGCUGAGGCGCGAAAGCGUGGGGAGCAAACAGGAUUAGAUACCCUAGUAGUC